GGGUGACCUGCCCUAAAGAGGGGAAUAACUUCGCGAAAGCGGAGCUAAUACCGCAUGAUGUCACACGAGUUAGAGGUCGUGUGACCAAAGAUUUCGAUCGCUUUAGGAGGGGCCCGCGGCCCAUCAGCUAGUUGGUGAGGUAAAGGCUUACCAAGGCUAUGACGGGUAGGGGACCUGAGAGGGUGACCCCCCACACUGGAACUGAGAUACGGUCCAGACACCUACGGGUGGCAGCAGUAGGGAAUAUUGCACAAUGGGCGAAAGCCUGAUGCAGCAACGCCGCGUGCGUGAUGAAGGCCUUAGGGUCGUAAAGCGCUUUUAGAGGGGAUGAAUUAAGACAGUACCUUCAGAAUAAGGAUCGGCUAACUACGUGCCAGCAGCCGCGGUAAAACGUAGGAUCCGAGCGUUAUCCGGAAUCACUGGGCGUAAAGGGCGUGUAGGCGGUUUAGCAAGUCGGUCAUGAAAGCUCCCGGCUCAACUGGGAGAGGUUGUCCGAUACUGCUAAACUAGAGGUCAAGAGAGGGAGGUGGAAUUCCAGGUGUAGAGGUGAAAUGCGUAGAUAUCUGGAGGAACACCAGUGGCGAAGGCGGCCUCCUGGCUUGUACCUGACGCUGAGACGCGAAAGCGUGGGUAGCGAACGGGAUUAGAAACCCCGGUAGUCCACGCCGUAAACGAUGUCAACUAGGUGUUGGUGGUAUAAAAUCCGUCGGUACCGGAGUUAACGCGUUAAGUUGACCGCCUGGGGACUACGAUCGCAAGAUUAAAACUCAAAGGAAUUGACGGGGACCCGCACAAGCAGCGGAGCGUGUGGUUUAAUUCGAGGCUACGCGAAGAACCUUACCAGGGAUUGACAUGUACGUAGUAGGGAAGUGAAAACGGACCGACCCUUCGGGGAGCGUACACAGGUGAUGCAUGGCUGUCGUCAGCUCGUGCCGUGAGGUGUCAGGUUAAGUCCUGUAACGAGCGCAACCCUUGUCGUGUGUUAUAUGUGUCACACGAGACUGCCGGUGUCAAACCGGAGGAAGGCGGGGAUGACGUCAAGUCAGCAUGUCCUUCAUAUCCUGGGCUACACACACGCUACAAUGGUCGGGACAAUAGGUAGCCAAGCCGUGAGGCGGAGCCAAUCCCCUAAACCCGAUCUCAGUUCGGAUUGUAGGCUGCAACUCGCCUACAUGAAGUCGGAGUUGCUAGUAACCGCACGUCAGCACAGUGCGGUGAAUACGUUCCCGGGUCUUGUACACACCGCCCGUCACGUCAUGGAAGCUGGCAACACCUGAAGCCGGUGUCCUAACCGCAAGGAGGGAGCUGUCUAAGGUGGGGUUGGUGACUGGGACGAAGUCGUAACAAGGUAGCUGUAGCGGAAGCUGCGGCUGG
rnacentral:rRNA from 1 species